rnacentral:lncRNA from 1 species
GAGUGCUGAGAUUAAAGGUGUGCUCAAGACUUUCAGGUCUAACAUUGAGAUACUUGAUCCAUUUGGAAAUGAUUCAUGUCUAGGAUGAGAGAGAAAGAUAAACAUUCAUUCAUUUGUGAAGGUACCCAGCUUCCCACCAACCAUUUGUUAAAGAUACUGUCUUUCUCCAAUACAUAUUGUUGACACCUUUGUCCAAAGCAGGUGUUCAGGACAUGGAUCAGCUGACAAAGUGCUUGCUAAACAGAUAUGGGAACACGAGUUUGAUCUCAAGAACCUAUUUAGGCGCUGGGCUUAACCUGUGCCACAGUGCUCCAUACCCAUACUGCCUGGAGAGAGCUGGUCUCCCAGAAGUGUGGACAAGCCUGUGAGCACAGGUAAGACCACCACUUCUCCUUCAAGGGACCAGCUCAGAGACCUCAGGACCCAGGAACUGAGGAGCAGUUUGGGACAGGAUCCUUCCAGUUUCUGUCUGAGCUGGGGAACUGACCCUGUACCACAGCUCUCCAUACCAAAAUACUCCCAGGAGAGAGCUGGUCUCCCAGGAUUGCUGACAUACCUGUGAGCACAGGCCCAGACAGCAGACAAAAACUGCAACAGAGUAGUUGCACAUAUGGACUCACUGAAGUUAUGACAAUGUACACUAGACCUGCACAAGCUCAAGCUGGACAAAAUCUCAGCAUGGGGUGGAGGAAGAAAGGUAGGCACAAAUUCUCUCUCCUACCUGAUAAGUUACUGGUAUUCAAUAGCUGCUGGGAAAGGGGAAAUUACUUUCCUUUAAGGGUGGUGUACCAUACUCCUAGGCAAGCUCCCCUUUCAAGAACAUUUGGAGAGGAAUAGCUCAGCUGUUAAAAGCACUGACUGCCCUUCCCAAUUCCCAGCACCCACAUGAUGGCUCACAAUGCUCUCCCCUGGUAUGCAAAUGUACAUACAGACCAAACACAUAUAUAGAUAAAAGUACAUAAAUAAAUUUGAAAAAAAAAGAGAAUAUUUGGGGAAUACAAUUUGGACUUGAUAGCUUUCAAGAACUCGAACAACACUGAAGAGAACACAGAGUUGAGUGGGUAUGCAGGUGUGGGGUAGACCUGGGAGAGAAGCUGGGAGAGCAUGAAACUGUUGGGAGCAUGAGGGGAGGGGUACAAGGAAAUAAUUGCUCCAGCUUCACUUUCCUCCAUCCUUUCAACCUCUGCACUUGGAUUCCUGGACUGAACCCAAGAGAAGCCAGGAUAAUGGAGCUGGUUGGUACAGUACAUGUGGUACAGUCUGUGAGGACCAAUAUUCCUGAACAUAGAAUAUGUUCAGGCCACGAAAGCUCUCUAGCACUCUAUCUCAUGAACACAUGACUGUACAGUCAUGCGGGACCAGACUUCUUCUUAGUAUGAUGCUCAGCUGAAGUAGAUAGUUUAUUAUUAUUAUUAUUAUUAUUAUUAUUAUUAUUAAUCAUUUUUUGGAGCAGGGUCUGACCAUGUAGGCCUGGCUACUUUGGAACUCAUUAUGUAGACCAGGUUGGCUUUGAACUGACAGAGACCUACCUUCCUCUGCCUCCUGAGUUCUAAGGUUAAAGAUGUAUGCCACCAUACCUAGCAUUAAGUAGAAGUUAAUGUUGAGUAAGGGCUGCAAAGAUGGUUCAGCAGUUAAGAACACUAGCUACUCUUUCAGAGGAUCCAGAUUUGGUUCCAAGUACCCACACUGUAGCUCACAACUAUCUGUAACUCAAGUUCUAGUAGAACUGACAUGCUGGAAUACCUGGUACUUAGUCAUACAUGGAGGCAAAGCACUCAUGCACAUAAAAUAGAAAUACAAGAGUUGAAUAAAUAAUUGCAUGCUGCCCUGCUAAUUAAGGAUAAAGUCUACCAUUGUCUGGGCAGCCGUCUGGGCACUGUGCAAAAUGGAAGAUUCUUUUUACUCGCAGAGCACCUCCUUCUCUGAUCUUGUCUGGGGAAUUCAAGCCCUGCCACAUGCCUGUAGCUGCAGAAUGUCAUGUAGCCUUGGUUAAGAUUACAGGUCCAACUUCCUUUCUUCUGAUAGGAACACAUUUAGCCAGCACCAGAGAUCCCUGGAAUGAGGCUCCAUGCUAACGAGGCAGCUCAGUACCAAUGACCUUUGCCCAUCCUGGAUAUUCUGACCCCCCAAUCUUCACAACUAUAUAAGCCUUGAAUAACUCCAAAUAAAGUUGAUCUGUCUAUCUGGAGCUGUUCCCAGUGUCAUCAUUACUAUACACACUCCUGUGGCCUCCCCACGUCAUCCCUUGUCUCUGCUCCCUGCUCCUUUUGCCCUCAUGGACAUUAGCUGACCAUCCAC